UUUGCAGGGACUGUAGAACAGGGUUGUAAGACCUGUCUGUCCUCCGCUGCGACUCUUGCAUGAAGCUCAUGUUAUUCGCCAGUUGUUGUUGGAUGGUAGAGAGUAGGUUGUCACGCCUUUGCUCUCUAGCCAUGUGGUCACGCCACAUCUCCUCUGUAAUAUAAAAGCCAAGAGUGGUACCUGCAGAAGAAGAAGAUGGUGCGGUGUGUGGUGGUGAAGGAUGAUGGGGGGACAUAUGGGGUACGAGAGAUCUCUCUCUCCGAUCAUAUUCAUCAUCAGUGUCAUUUUCCUCCUCAUCAGGAAUGUUAGGAGGAAGAGGACCCAAAACAGGUGGAGCAUCUAAAGCGUAGGUUCAAUUCUUUUCAUCUCGUACAUCUGUACGUCUAGUGCACGGUAAAACAACAAAUGAGAUGGCUACACCAUGAACCAUAAGUAUAUAGCCUCCUUCUCUCCUCAAAC
rnacentral:lncRNA from 1 species